rnacentral:rRNA from 1 species
UAGGGAAUCUUCCACAAUGGACGGCAAGUCUGAUGGAGCAACGCCGCGUGAGUGAAGAAGGGUUUCGGCUCGUAAAGCUCUGUUGUUAAAGAAGAACGUGGGUAAGAGUAACUGUUUACCCAGUGACGGUAUUUAACCAGAAAGCCACGGCUAACUACGUGUCAG